ACAAGCCAUCCAAGGUUAUUGAUGGUAUACCACGGAUGAUGGCCUUUCCUGGAGUUGCCAUACAGAGUUAAUGCCUGCCUACUGGAAGACAACAGAAUGUAUGAAUUAUUUAAUAAAAUGAGUAGGAUCAAACUUCCGAAUGUGUUGGUGUAUAAUAUAGGCGAUGUUUACGAGUACUAAGAGAUACAGUGAUCGUCGGAUCAUCUUUGGUUGUCAUCAACC
rnacentral:lncRNA from 1 species